UACAGAGGGUGCGAGCGUUAAUCGGAUUUACUGGGUUUAAAGGGCGCGUAGGCGGUGCAACAAGUCAGGCGUGAAAGCCCUGGGCUCAACCUGGGAAUUGCAGUGGAUACUGGCGAGCUAGAGUACGGUAGAGGAUGGUGGAAUUCCCGGUGUAGCGGUGAAAUGCGUAGAGAAUCGGGAGGAACACCCGUGGCGAAGGCAGC
rnacentral:rRNA from 1 species